UAGGGAAUCUUCCACAAUGGGCGAAAGCCUGAUGGAGCAACGCCGCGUGUGUGAAGAAGGGUUUCGGCUCGUAAAACUCUGUUGUUAAAGAAGAACAUAUCUGAGAGUAACUGUUCAGGUAUUGACGGUAUUUAACCAGAAAGCCACGGCUAACUACGUGCCAG
rnacentral:rRNA from 1 species